AUGAACGCUGGCGGCGUGCCUAAUACAUGCAAGUCGAGCGAACAGACGAGGAGCUUGCUCCUCUGACGUUAGCGGCGGACGGGGGAGUAACACGUGGAUAACCUACCUAUAAGACUGGGAUAACUUCGGGAAACCGGAGCUAAUACCGGAUAAUAUAUUGAACCGCAUGGUUCAAUAGGGAAAUACGGUUUUGCUGUCACUUAUAAAUGGAUCCGCGCCGCAUUAGCUAGUUGGUAAGGUAACGGCUUACCAAGGCAACGAUGCGUAGCCGACCUGAGAGGGUGAUCGGCCACACUGGAACUGAGACACGGUCCAGACUCCUACGGGAGGCAGCAGUAGGGAAUCUUCCGCAAUGGGCGAAAGCUUGACGGAGCAACGCCGCGUGAGUGAUGAAGGUCUUCGGAUCGUAAAACUCUGUUAUUAGGGAAGAACAAAUGUGUAAGUAACUAUGCACGUCUUGACGGUACCUAAUCAGAAAGCCACGGCUAGCUACGUG
rnacentral:rRNA from 1 species